rnacentral:rRNA from 1 species
GGCUCAGGAUGAACGCUGGCGGCGUGCUUAACACAUGCAAGUCGAACGAUGAUCUCCAGCUUGCUGGGGGGAUUAGUGGCGAACGGGUGAGUAACACGUGAGUAACCUGCCCUUAACUCUGGGAUAAUCCUGGGAAACUGGGUCUAAUACCGGAUAUGACUGAUCAUCGCAUGGUGGUUGGUGGAAAGCUUUUUGUGGUUUUGGAUGGACUCGCGGCCUAUCAGCUUGUUGGUGAGGUAAUGGCUUACCAAGGCGACGACGGGUAGCCGGCCUGAGAGGGUGACCGGCCACACUGGGACUGAGACACGGCCCAGACUCCUACGGGAGGCAGCAGUGGGGAUUAUUGCACAAUGGGCGAAAGCCUGAUGCAGCGACGCCGCGUGAGGGAUGACGGCCUUCG